AUUGAACGCUAGCGGGAUGCCUUACACAUGCAAGUCGAACGGAGUGGCGAACGGGUGAGUAAUGUAUCGGCACGUGCCCAGUAGCGGGGGAUAACUACGCGAAAGCGUAGCUAAUACCGCAUACUAUUGGAGCGGCAGAUACCGGAUUAGCUAGUUGGUGGGGGUACGGCUCACCAAGGCGACGAUCCGUAGCUGUUUUGAGAGGACGACCAGCCACACUGGGACUGAGACACGGCCCAGACUCCUACGGGAGGCAGCAGUGGGGAAUUUUGGACAAUGGGGGAAACCCUGAUGCAGCCAUGCCGCGUGUGCGAUGAAGGCCUUCGGGUUGUAAAGCACUGUUGGCAGGGAGGCGGUACCUGCAGAAUAAGCACCGGCUAACUCCGUGCCAGCAGCCGCGGUAAUUC
rnacentral:rRNA from 1 species